rnacentral:rRNA from 1 species
CGAACGGAAAGGCCUGCAGCUUGCUGCGGGUACUCGAGUGGCGAACGGGUGAGUAACACGUGGGUGAUCUGCCUUGCACUUCGGGAUAAGCUUGGGAAACUGGGUCUAAUACCGGAUAGGACAGCUGUUUAGUGUCAGUUGUGGAAAGUUUUUUCGGUGCAAGAUGAGCUCGCGGCCUAUCAGCUUGUUGGUGGGGUAAUGGCCUACCAAGGCGUCGACGGGUAGCCGGCCUGAGAGGGUGUACGGCCACAUUGGGACUGAGAUACGGCCCAGACUCCUACGGGAGGCAGCAGUGGGGAAUAUUGCACAAUGGGCGGAAGCCUGAUGCAGCGACGCCGCGUGGGGGAUGAAGGCCUUCGGGUUGUAAACUCCUUUCGACAGGGACGAAGCGUAAGUGACGGUACCUGUAUAAGAAGCACCGGCUAACUACGUGCCAGCAGCCGCGGUAAUACGUAGGGUGCGAGCGUUGUCCGGAAUUACUGGGCGUAAAGAGCUCGUAGGUGGUUUGUCGCGUCGUCUGUGAAAUUCCGGGGCUUAACUCCGGGCGUGCAGGCGAUACGGGCUGACUUGAGUGCUGUAGGGGAGACUGGAAUUCCUGGUGUAGCGGUGAAAUGCGCAGAUAUCAGGAGGAACACCGAUGGCGAAGGCAGGUCUCUGGGCAGUAACUGACGCUGAGGAGCGAAAGCAUGGGUAGCGAACAGGAUUAGAUACCCUGGUAGUCCAUGCCGUAAACGGUGGGCGCUAGGUGUAGGGGGCUUCCACGUCUUCUGUGCCGUAGCUAACGCAUUAAGCGCCCCGCCUGGGGAGUACGCCGCA